UACGGGGGGGGCAAGCGUUGUUCGGAAUUACUGGGCGUAAAGGGCUUGUAGGUGGCCAACUAAGUCAGACGUGAAAUCCCUCGGCUUAACCGGGGAACUGCGUCUGAUACUGGAUGGCUGGAGUGUGGGAGAGGGAUGCGGAAUUCCUGGUGUAGCGGUGAAAUGCGUAGAUAUCAGGAGGAACACCUGCGGUGUAGACGGCUUACUGGACCAUAACUGACGCUGAGGCACGAAAGCGUGGGUAGCAAACAGG
rnacentral:rRNA from 1 species